GAUGAACGCUAGCGACAGGCUUAACACAUGCAAGUCGAGGGGCAGCACAGGUAGCAAUCCCGGGUGGCGACCGGCGCACGGGUGAGUAACGCGUAUGCAACUUACCUAUCAGAGGGGGAUAACCCGUCGAAAGUCGGACUAAUACCGCAUUAAGCAGGGGUCCCGCAUGGAGAUAUUUGCUAAAGAUUCAUCGCUGAUAGAUAGGCAUGCGUUCCAUUAGGCAGUUGGCGGGGUAACGGCCCACCAAACCGACGAUGGAGAGGGGUUCUGAGAGGAAGGUCCCCCACAUUGGUACUGAGACACGGACCAAACUCCUACGGGAGGCAGCAGUGAGGAAUAUUGGUCAAUGGCCGAGAGGCUGAACCAGCCAAGUCGCGUGAGGGAGGAAGGUUCUAUGGAUCGUAAACCUCUUUUAUAAGGGAAUAAAGUGCGGGACGUGUCCCGUUUUGUAUGUACCUUAUGAAUAAGGAUCGGCUAACUCCGUG
rnacentral:rRNA from 1 species